CCUCAUGAAAGUGCAUGGACAAGUAGGAGAAAUUAAAUCAUUCACUUUUUCUAAACUGAAUGAUAAAUUAACAAAGAGACCUAUUAGUGCGUCAUCGGUGACAGUGGCAAGAGGUCCCUUUGCGUCGCAAAUUGGCUACUUUAUUGCCUUACGUUGAAAUAGGAUCUGUUAGUGCAGCUCAGCUGCUCUGUUAACUCGUGGCGGACUUCGGUUUUAUUAUAGUUGAUCUGUUACUGCAUAUAUGCUGCUUUGGAAAUAUAUUGCUUAUCAGAUUGUGACUGCAUAGCUUGCUUCAGGGAGUGGAGGUUCAGCACUAAGUGGAUUUUUUAGGGUUUUACUAUUGUAUGGAUAUAAGUUGUUCAUUAGGCAGUGACACCUUAAAUUGCAUCUGUGAGUGUAGGACCUGCAUUAGUGGAGGUUUUAGGCUAUUUCUAUUGUAUGCUUGCAAAGCCUUCAUGAGCUAGUUUUACUGAUAUAGGUUUGAUGUCAAGCUUUCGUAUGCUAAUCCUUGAACUGUUGUUGAUCUCAAGCUCUAAAUACUUCUUGUACUUAGAGUUCUUUUUAUUAUAAAGUCCUUUUGCUAUUUCAAAAGAAAAACAAAGAGACCUAUUCUUGGUAUAAAGGUUUGGGAAAUAAUUGCAAUUUUGGUUGGUUUGUCAACUUAUAAUUCUCACUGUUCUUUCACUAUGUUUUACUUCAAGAAAGAAAAUGAACUUGGUGAAGGUGGAUAUGGAGUGGUUUAUGAGGGACAAUUGAUCAAUGGGAGUGCAUUAAAAAGAUACUCAAUAAUAUGGACUUGGGUUGUAUCGUGAUACGGGAUUUUUGCUUUAUGGGCCUCCAAGUUGUGGUAGAACACAGAUUGCCAAAACUGUUACCAAUGAGGCGGGAGCUAAUUUCAUUUAUAUUAAGUUCAUGGCUGGAAAGUGAAGACUUGAUACAUAACUCAUCAAGUAGCCACUCAUCCAAAUUAGCUUAACUCAAUCAACUAUCUUUAUGGUCAAAUUAAAUGAUGACAACUGAUGUUGGUAGUGAGCUAAUUGUGCUUUAUGGAUCUGAUUUUAUGGAUAUGGUUCUGGUUUGCAGCACAACCAGUUCUUGUGCAAUUUUAGCAUUCAAGGUUUUCGGUUCCGACCAUGAGACGAAAGCGCUGUGACCUUUUUCUGUUAUUGGCUGUUUGGUUGAAGUUUGAGGGCAGUUUCAAGAUAGAUUUUGUCAUGUGCCUUCACAAUGUGUGCCUUCACAGUUUGAGGGCUGCAAGGAGAGGAAAAUGAUUGUUUUCAUAGUUUUAAUUCUAUACAUACAUUAUUUCUGUAUUGGUUACUUUUCAAGUGUCAUGACCAUGGAAGGCAAAAACUGUUGUGAUUCCAAGACACCCAAGUAAUUUCGUUUGAA